UAGUUUGGUCCUUGAGAGACGACCUAGGAGUCAUUCCCUAGCUAUACUGCAUUUCUCAUAUGCAAUCAAAUUUGUAUGGGCCACGACAUCCAUCACUUUACUAGCACGCUAGCUAAGUUUACUCAAGGUAGAGACAAUUUAAAUGCUGUAUUAAAAUCAUCUGACAGAGCUAUGUACAGGCAAGUAAUAGGAUACAAAGCUCAAUCUAACAGAACCAA
rnacentral:lncRNA from 1 species